AAGUCUGUUACAGAUGUACAAGAUCCAUUGUGAAUCGACCGUUUUUCAUCUACUGGUAUGGUUUAGUUUCAAUGUCAAAAGAAUCUUUGUAAGUUAUUGGUUUGUUUGACCUCAAAAGUCAAACUUGAUCAUUUUUCAUCUACUGGUAUGGUUUAGUUUAUUUUUGAACAACCAAAUGCAACUCUUGGAUCAUGUAUGCAACUGGUCAACAACUUAUUAAGACCUGCUAUCAACAACCAACAGAUUCUCUCCGAGCCUAUUUCAUUAUCGGUAAGAAUCUUUCUUGAUUCUUACUGAUAUAAACAAAAAAGGGCGCGAUUAGUCUUGAGAAAUCGAGUCAGAUUGGAAUUAUUGCGGGGUUGUUGGCUGACAAAGAAAAAGAUAAGGUGGAUAAAGAUGCGUUGCUUGAUAGAAUGUCACAAAUUGAAGCUAUGUUAACAGCUACAGUUCGAAGAUAGGCUAUAAACACUUGGUUUUGAAUGUUUAGAUGUUUAUCAUAUUGGGAUAAUUUUAGUUAUUUUA